rnacentral:rRNA from 1 species
GACGAACGCUGGCGGCGUGCUUAACACAUGCAAGUCGAACGAUGAAGCACCAGCUUGCUGGUGUGGAUUAGUGGCGAACGGGUGAGUAACACGUGAGUAACCUGCCCCUCACUCUGGGAUAAGCCUGGGAAACUGGGUCUAAUACUGGAUACGACCGAUCUCCGCAUGGAGUGUUGGUGGAAAGUUUUUGUGGUGGGGGAUGGACUCGCGGCCUAUCAGCUUGUUGGUGGGGUAGUGGCCUACCAAGGCGACGACGGGUAGCCGGCCUGAGAGGGCGACCGGCCACACUGGGACUGAGACACGGCCCAGACUCCUACGGGGGGCAGCAGUGGGGAAUAUUGCACAAUGGGCGAAAGCCUGAUGCAGCGACGCCGCGUGAGGGAUGACGGCCUUCGGGUUGUAAACCUCUUUCACCAGGGACGAAGCUAACGUGACGGUACCUGGAGAAGAAGCACCGGCUAACUACGUG